AAUAGGGAAUCCUCAAAGGACACUGACUUCAGACGUAGCCCAAUGAACCUGGAAGGCCAGGAUGAUGAGACGUACUUUCCCUUUAUCCUCAUACCCUCCUCCAACACUCGUUCCCUUGGAAUUGAGGAGAAACCACAGAGCCCCUCUGGAGACACAUCACAAGACAAAGGAAGCAAGAUAAAGUCCCCAGAAGUGUGGACCCUGUGAGGGUCCCACAAACCGAACCCACCGUGAGUGCUUGAACACAGAACCCCCUGCCCCAUUCACCUCCAGGAAGAAGCGGGGGCUCUCCGGCUGUGUGGUCAGAGCGCCGAUGGCAAACACCGAAGGGAAGGCACAGACGAGGACAAACACCCUCCAGCUGUGGAACUGGACUGCCUCCGGGGGCUUAGCAAGUGGCCACUCACCCAAUCCCAGAAAGGAGGCGGCAGAAGAGGAAAGUGCCAUAACCCUGGACGAAAGAUGAGAAAAAGGCGAAGACGCUGUUGACUGAGAGCGAGAUGAGCAGACACUGCCUCCGACCCAGCCGAUCAGCCAGACCUCCCCAGAGGAAGGCUCCCACCAUCAUGCCCAGCCAUGCUUCAGCUAAGCCCCAAGGAGUGGGGAUCUGCCCAGGAUCUCAUGGCAACUUGGGAGCAGAGCAAGACCAAGAGAUGCUUUGUGGGGGUCUGUGCCACCAUGGCCACCUCCUCCAGAACUAACUAAGCAGACCACCGCCCAAGCCCCAGCCCAGCACGAACAGCCUCACCGUGACCCAGUGUCAAGAGGAAGGAGUGAGGGGAGAGUGUGCAGAGGAACUCCAAGCCCUCUGGAGACAUCUUGGGACCAGGAUCCUAGGGAGCCCAGCGCACUAGGCAGCACAAAGCCCACCACAAAGACUUCCACACCAUCAGCCAUCAGCGCCAGGCCAAGCACGAAGUAGAGUGUCCACUGGAAGCGGCCGUGGCCACACUCCCGGAGGAUGGCUUCGUACUGCUGAG